rnacentral:rRNA from 1 species
GAUGAACGCUGGCGGCGUGCCUAAUACAUGCAAGUCGAACGCUGGAGAUCUAGCUUGCUAGCUCGAAGGAGUGGCGAACGGGUGAGUAAUACAUAAGCAACCUACCCACGAAGACUGGGAUAAUCUCUGGAAACGGGGACUAAUACCGGAUAGGUAAUCGGAAGGCAUCUUCUGGUUAUUAAAGGUUAAAAACACUGGUGGAUGGGCUUAUGGCGCAUUAGUUAGUUGGUGAGGUAACGGCCCACCAAGACGAUGACGCGUAGCCGGCCUGAGAGGGUGAACGGCCACAUUGGGACUGAGACACGGCCCAGACUCCUACGGGAGGCAGCAGUAGGGAAUUUUCGGCAAUGGGGGCAACCCUGACCGAGCAACGCCGCGUGAGUGAAGACGGCCUUCGGGUUGUAAAGCUCUGUUGUAAGGGAAGAACGGUAGAUAGAGAAUAUCUAAGUGACGGUACCUUACCAGAAAGCCACGGCUAACUACGU